rnacentral:rRNA from 1 species
UACCAGCACCCCGAGUGGUCGGGACGAUUAUUGGGCCUAGAGCAUCCGUAGCCGGUCCUACAAGUCUUCCGUUAAAUCCACCUGCUUAACAGAUGGGCUGCGGAAGAUACUAUAGGGCUAGGAGGCGGGAGAGGCAAGCGGUACUCAGUGGGUAGGGGUAAAAUCCGUUGAUCCAUUGAAGACCACCAGUGGCGAAGGCGGCUUGCCAGAACGCGCUCGACGGUGAGGGAUGAAAGCUGGGGGAGCAAACCGG